rnacentral:lncRNA from 1 species
CCAGAACCGGCAUCUGGGGAGCAGCUGCUGGGAGUUAACCCCUUCUGGGCUGCGAGAAGCAGGGCAGGAGGAGCGGAUGUCGGGCCUGAGCGUGGCCGUGGGGGGGUCCAGUGCCGGGGGUGCACGCUGGGACUCCCCCCGUGUGCUGCAGGGCGCCUGGGCACCAAGUGCAAAGGGCAUUGGCUUCGCAGGGACACGCGGCAUGCAUGGAUGGCGAGGUCAUUUAUAUUGUAUGGAAGUAUGUGCCCUGGAGCCGGCAGGAGCACCAGCUGCGCUCGGCAUGCCCUGCUGCUAGCAGUUGUGCCAGAACCGAUGGUGACAGUGGCAACAAAAGAGUCUCCGUUUGACCACCGCCCCCUCUUGUUGCCACCUCCUAAGAGACAAAAAGGAAAUGCCACAGCUCCUGCGGUUCCUCCUCCCUGGGAUCGACUCACCUGGUCGGCCAGGUCAGGUGCCUGCGUGGCCGAAGCACGGGGAAGAGAAGGCAGAGACAAAGGGGACACGGAGAGAAGCAGGCAGAGAGCAGCAAGUCAAGUCGCAGGGGCAGGAGGGGGAUUUCUCCGCUGA